AAAACCUUUUAUUUGGAGACCAAAAUGAGCAGAGACUGAACCAUACAAGGGUCUUGGAACAACAUAGUGCAUUUCAUUAACCCCACAGCAAGUGUCACAACCCAUGGAAUAAUGGUCAUAAAAUACCAUGUUCUUCAUUUCCCUGAAUAUAGCACCAAAACAAAGAAAAUUGUUUAACCCUUUACUUUCAGGGUGAUUGUCUCAAACCCAGGUUUACAUUUAAGAUUGCACUGAGAACAAAUGGGUUUCUGUAAUUCUCUGUUAGUUCGAGGAUAAGACAUCAUGGUCCCCGUGACACCUGUUUUGCUCUGCUUGUGUUUUGCGAAAGUAAAAUGAAGGAGACAUUGAAACAAUAUCCGGGUUUAUUGGAGCAAAAUUAAACCCACAUUUGCACUAUUUUCUUUAAUGUCAAUCUGAUAUUUUCAUGUAUCGUAUAUAAGGUGGCAUUACAGAUUUCGGUUUGGGGCCAGAAGUGUCAAGUUAUGCCGGGUAAUUUUUUUUGAGUAAUGGCAGAAUUUUUGAACAGACCGCCAUAACAUUAGGAAGAAAAUUACAUUUCAGAGAGUUGCGGGGAUUAUAGGGAUGUACCACAUGAAAUUAAACCAAUACAUGACAUACGGUAAUCUUCUUUGGUAUUAUACCGAA